rnacentral:rRNA from 1 species
GACGAACGCUGGCGGCGUGCCUAAUACAUGCAAGUCGAGCGAAGUUUUUCUGGUGCUUGCACCGGAAAAACUUAGCGGCGAACGGGUGAGUAACACGUAAAGAACCUGCCUCAUAGACUGGGACAACUAUUGGAAACGAUAGCUAAUACCGGAUAACAGCAUUAACUGCAUGGUUGAUGUUUAAAAGUUGGUUUUGCUAACACUAUGAGAUGGCUUUGCGGUGCAUUAGCUAGUUGGUGGGGUAAAGGCCUACCAAGGCGACGAUGCAUAGCCGACCUGAGAGGGUGAUCGGCCACACUGGGACUGAGACACGGCCCAGACUCCUACGGGAGGCAGCAGUAGGGAAUCUUCCGCAAUGGGCGAAAGCCUGACGGAGCAACGCCGCGUGAGUGAAGAAGGAUUUCGGUUCGUAAAGCUCUGUUGUUAGGGAAGAAUGAUUGUGUAGUAACCAUACACAGCCCG